UACGGGGGGGGCAAGCGUUGUUCGGAAUUACUGGGCGUAAAGGGCUCGUAGGCGGCCAACUAAGUCAGACGUGAAAUCCCUCGGCUUAACCGGGGAACUGCGUCUGAUACUGGAUGGCUUGAGUGUGGGAGAGGAAUGCGGAAUUCCAGGUGUAGCGGUGAAAUGCGUAGAUAUCUGGAGGAACACCGGUGGCGAAGGCGGCAUUCUGGACCGUAACUGACGCUGAGGCGCGAAAGCGUGGGGAGCAAACAGG
rnacentral:rRNA from 1 species